rnacentral:rRNA from 1 species
GACGAACGCUGGCGGCGUGCUUAACACAUGCAAGUCGAACGGAAAGGCCCUGCUUUUGUGGGGUGCUCGAGUGGCGAACGGGUGAGUAACACGUGAGUAACCUGCCCUUGACUUUGGGAUAACUUCAGGAGACUGGGGCUAAUACCGGAUAGGAGCUCCUGCUGCAUGGUGGGGGUUGGAAAGUUUCGGCGGUUGGGGAUGGACUCGCGGCUUAUCAGCUUGUUGGUGGGGUAGUGGCUUACCAAGGCUUUGACGGGUAGCCGGCCUGAGAGGGUGACCGGCCACAUUGGGACUGAGAUACGGCCCAGACGCCUACGGGAGGCAGCAGUGGGGAAUAUUGCGCAAUGGGCGGAAGCCUGAUGCAGCAACGCCGCGUGCGGGAUGACGGCCUUCGGGUUGUAAACCGCUUUCGCCUGUGACGAAGCGUGAGUGACGGUAAUGGGUAAAGAAGCACCGGCUAACUACGUG